rnacentral:rRNA from 1 species
ACAGGCUUAACACAUGCAAGUCGAGGGGCAGCAUCAUCAAAGCUUGCUUUGAUGGAUGGCGACCGGCGCACGGGUGAGUAACACGUAUCCAACCUGCCGACAACACUGGGAUAGCCUUUCGAAAGAAAGAUUAAUACCGGAUGGCAUAAUUAUUCCGCAUGGGAUGAUUAUUAAAGAAUUUCGGUUGUCGAUGGGGAUGCGUUCCAUUAGGCAGUUGGCGGGGUAACGGCCCACCAAACCUACGAUGGAUAGGGGUUCUGAGAGGAAGGUCCCCCACAUUGGAACUGAGACACGGUCCAAACUCCUACGGGAGGCAGCAGUGAGGAAUAUUGGUCAAUGGACGAGAGUCUGAACCAGCCAAGUAGCGUGAAGGAUGACUGCCCUAUGGGUUGUAAACUUCUUUUAUACGGGAAUAAAGUGAGCCACGUGUGGCUUUUUGUAUGUACCGUAUGAAUAAGGAUCGGCUAACUCCGUGCCAGCAGCCGCGGUAAUACGGAGGAUCCGAGCGUUAUCCGGAUUUAUUGGGUUUAAAGGGAGCGUAGGCGGGUUGUUAAGUCAGUUGUGAAAGUUUGCGGCUCAACCGUAAAAUUGCAGUUGAUACUGGCGACCUUGAGUGCAACAGAGGUAGGCGGAAUUCGUGGUGUAGCGGUGAAAUGCUUAGAUAUCACGAAGAACUCCGAUUGCGAAGGCAGCUUACUGGAUUGUAACUGACGCUGAUGCUCGAAAGUGUGGGUAUCAAACAGGAUUAGAUACCCUGGUAGUCCACACAGUAAACGAUGAAUACUCGCUGUUGGCGAUAUACAGUCAGCGGCCAAGCGAAAGCAUUAAGUAUUC